AGUGAACGCUGGCGGUAGGCCUAACACAUGCCAGUCGAACGGCAGCACAGUAAGAGCUUGCUCUUACGGGUGGCGAGUGGCGGACGGGUGAGGAAUACAUCGGAAUCUACUUUUUCGUGGGGGAUAACGUAGGGAAACUUACGCUAAUACCGCAUACGACCUACGGGUGAAAGCAGGGGAUCUUCGGACCUUGCGCGAUUGAAUGAGCCGAUGUCGGAUUAGCUAGUUGGCGGGGUAAAGGCCCACCAAGGCGACGAUCCGUAGCUGGUCUGAGAGGAUGAUCAGCCACACUGGAACUGAGACACGGUCCAGACUCCUACGGGAGGCAGCAGUGGGGAAUAUUGGACAAUGGGCGCAAGCCUGAUCCAGCCAUACCGCGUGGGUGAAGAAGGCCUUCGGGUGGUAAAGCCCUUUUGUUGGGAAAGAAAAGCAGCAGGUUAAUACCCCGCUGUUCUGACGGUACCCAAAGAAUAAGCACCGGCUAACUUCGU
rnacentral:rRNA from 1 species